rnacentral:rRNA from 1 species
AAUCUUGCGCAAUGGGCGAAAGCCUGACGCAGCGACGCCGCGUGGGGGAGGAAGGGCUUCGGCUUGUAAACCCCUGUUGCCCGGGACGAAUCCCUGAAAUUGGUCAGGUUGACGGUACCGGGUGAGGAAGCACCGGCUAACUCCGUGCCAGCAGCCGCGGUAAUACGGAGGGUGCGAGCGUUGUCCGGAAUCACUGGGCGUAAAGGGCGCGUAGGUGGUAACCUAAGCGUGUGGUGAAAGCUCGGGGCUCAACCUCGAGUCGGCCAUGCGAACUGGGUCACUGGAGCACUGUAGAGGCAGGUGGAAUUCCGGGUGUAGCGGUGGAAUGCGUAGAGAUCCGGAAGAACACCGGUGGCGAAGGCGGCCUGCUGGGCAGUUGCUGACACUGAGGCGCGACAGCGUGGGGAGCAAA